AAGGGUGCGUAACACGUGGGCAAUCUGCCGUGAAGUUUGGAAUAACUUGCUGAAAGGCGAGCUAAUGCCGGAUGUGAUUAUUGGAAGGCAUCUUUUGAUUCUCAAAGUUGGGGACCGUAAGGCCUAACGCUUCAUGAUGAACCCGCGGCCUAUCAGCUAGUUGGUGAGGUAAUGGCUCACCAAGGCUAAGACGGGUAGCUGGUCUGAGAGGACGACCAGCCACACUGGAACUGAGACACGGUCCAGACACCUACGGGUGGCAGCAGUCGAGAAUUUUUCACAAUGGGGGAAACCCUGAUGGAGCGACGCCGCGUGGGGGAUGAAUGGCUUCGGCCCGUAAACCCCUGUCAUUCGCGAACAAUUCUUACGAUUUAACAAAUCGUAAGUUGAUAGUAGCGGAAGAGGAAGGGACGGCUAACUCUGUGCCAGCAGCCGCGGUAAUACAGAGGUCCCAAGCGUUGUUCGGAUUCACUGGGCGUAAAGGGUGCGUAGGUGGUUGGGUAAGUCUGAUGUGAAAUCUCCGAGCUUAACUCGGAAAUGGCAUUGGAUACUAUUCAACUAGAGAGUUGGAGGGGGA
rnacentral:rRNA from 1 species